ensembl:lncRNA
AUAUAUUUUUUAUUUAACCUUUAUUUAACCAGGUAGGAAAGUUGAGAGUUCUCAACUUCUCAUUUACAAUUACGACCUGGCCAAGAUAAAGCAAAGCAGUUCAACACAUACAACGACACAGAGAGUUACACAUGGAGUAAAUCAAACAUACAGUCAAUAAUACAGUAGAAAAAUAAGUCUAUAUACAAUGUGAGCAAAUGAGGUGAGAUAAGGGAGGUCAAGGCAAAAAAGGCCAUGGUGGCGAAGUAAAUACAAUGUAGCAAGUAAAUCACUGGAAUGGUAGAUUUACAGUGGAAGAAUGUGCAAAGUAGAGAGAGAAAUAAUGGGGUGCAAAGGAGCAAAAUAAAUAAAAUAAAUACAGUAGGGGAAGAGGUAGUUGUUUGGGCUAAAUUAUAAAUGGGCUAUGUACAGGUGCAGUAAUCUGUGAGCUGCUCUGACAGCUGAUGCUUAAAGCUAGUGAGGGAGAUAAGUGUUUCCAGUUUCAGAGAUUUUUGUAGUUCGUUCCAGUCAUUGGCAGCAGAGAACUGGAAGGAGAGGCAGCCAAAGGAAGAAUUGGUUUUGGGGGUGACCAGAGAGAUAUACCUGCCGGAUCGCGUGCUACAGGUAGGUGCUGCUAUGGUGACCAGCGAGCUGAGAUGAGGGGGGACUUUACCUAGCAGGGUCUUGUAGAUGACCUGGAGCCAGUGGGUUUGGCGACAAGUAUGAAGCGAGGGCAUAGAGACUUCCAGAGGCCUGGACAACAGGCCCUCCUAUUUGACACACUGAACUCUAUCAGAGAAUUAGUUGGUGAACCAGGGGAGGCAAUCAUUUGAGAAACCAAGGCUAUCGAGUCUCCCGAUGAGGAUGUGGUGAUUGACAGAGUCGAAAGCCUUGGCCAGGUCAAUGAAAACGGCUGCACAAUAUUGUUUCUUAUCGAUGGCGGUUAAGAUAUCGUUUAGGACCUUGAGCGUGGCUGUGGUGCACCCAUGACCAGGUCUGAAACCAGAUUUCAUAGUGGAGAAGGUGCGGUGGGAUUCGAAAUGGUCGGUAAUCUGUUUGUUGACUUGGCUUUUGAAGACCUUAAAAAGGUAGGAUAGAUAUAGGUCUGUAGAGGUUUGGGUCAAGAGUGUCCCCCCUUUGAAGAGGGGGAUGACCGCAGCUGCUUUCCAAUCUUUGGGAAUCUCAGACGACACGAAAGAGAGGUUGAACAGGCUAGUAAUAGGGGUUACAACAAUUUUGGCAGAUCAUUUUAGAGAGAAAGGGUCCAGAUUGUCUAGCCCGGCUGAUUUGUAGGGGUCCAGAUUUUUCAGCUCUUUCAGAACAUCAGCUGACUGGAUUUGGGAGAAGGAGAAAUGGGGAAGGCUUGGGCGAGUUGCUGUGGAUGUCUAUCCAUCUUGUACUUAAAACAGUAUGUCAAAUUAAGAUAUACGGUGCAAUCGGAAAGUAUUCAGACCCCUUGACUUUUUCCACGUUUUGUUACGUUACAGGCUAGUUUUAAAAUGUAUAACAUUUUUUUCCUCCCCCAUCAAUCUACACACAAUACCCCAUAAUGACAAAGCAAACACAGGUUUUUAGAAAUAUUACAUUCACAUAAAUAUUCAGACCCUUUACUCAGUACUUUGUUGAAGAACCUUUGGCAGUGAUUACAGCCUUGAGCAUUCUUGGGUAUGAUGCUCCAAGCUUGGCACCUGUAAUUGGGGAGUUUCUCCCAUUCUUCUCUGCAGAUCCUCUCAAGCUUUGUCAGGUUGGAUGGGGAGCGUCACUGCACAACUAUUUUCAGGUUUCUCCAGAGAUGUUCGAUAGGGUUCAAGUCCGGGUUCUGGCUGGGCCACUAAAGGACAUUGAAAGACCCGAUGCCACUCCUGCGUUGUCUUAGCUGUGUGCUUAGGGUCGUUGUCCUGUUGAAGGUGAACCUUUGCUCCAGUCUGAGGUCCUGAGCGCUCUGGAGCAGGUUUUCAUCAAGGAUCUCUCUGUACUUUGCGCCGUUCAUAUUUCAUUCGAUCCUGUAUAGAGCUGCCACCACCAUGCUUCAUCGUUGGGAUGGUGCCAGGUUUCCUCCAUACGGGACACUUGGCAUUCAGGCCGAAGAGUUCAGUCUUGGUUUCAUCAGAUCAGAGAAUCUUGUUGCUCAUGGUCUGAGAGUCCUUUAGGUGCCUUUUGGCAAACUCCAAGUGAGCUAUUGUGCCUUUUACUGAGGAGUGGCUUCUGUCUGGCUACUCUACCAUUAAGGCCUGAUUGGUGGAGUGCUGCAGAGAUGGUUGUCCUUCUGGAAGGUUCUCCCAUCUCGACAGAGGAACUCUGGAGCUCUGUCAGAGUGACCAUUGGGUUCCUGGCCACCCCCCUGACCAAGGCCCAUCUCCCCCGAUUGCUGUUUGGCCGGGCGGCCAGCUCUAGGAAGAGUGUUGGUGGUUCCAAACUUCUUCCCUUUAAAGAAUGGAGGCCACUGUGUUCUUGGGGACCUUCAAUGCUGCAGACAUUUUGUACUACCUUUCCUCAGAUCUGUGCCUUGAUACUCCUGUCUCAGAGCUCUACGGACAAUUCCUUCGACCUCAAAUCAAAUCAAAUCAAAUUUUAUUUGUCACAUACACAUGGUUAGCAGAUGUUAAUGCGAGUGUAGCGAAAUGCUUGUGCUUCUAGUUCCGACAAUGCAGUAAUAACCAACAAGUAAUCUAACUAACAAUUCCAAAACUACUGUCUUAUACACAGUGUAAAGGGAUAAAGAAUAUGUACAUAAGGAUAUAUGAAUGAGGGAUGGUACAGAGGAGCAUAGGCAAGAUACAGUAGAUGGUAUCGAGUACAGUAUAUACAUAUGAGAUGAGUAUGUAAACAAAGUGGCAUAGAUAAGUGGCUAGUGAUACAUGUAUUACAUAAGGAUGCAGUCGAUGAUAUAGAGUACAGUAUAUACGUAUGCAUAUGAGAUGAAUAAUGUAGGGUAAGUAACAUUAUAUAAGGUAGCAUUGUUUAAAGUGGCUAGUGAUAUAUUUACAUCAUUUCCCAUCAAUUCCCAUUAUUAAAGUGGCUGGAGUUGAGUCAGUGUCAGUGUCAGUGUGUUGGCAGCAGCCACUCAAUGUUAGUGGUGGCUGUUUAACAGUCUGAUGGCCUUGAGAUAGAAGCUGUUUUUCAGUCUCUCGGUCCCUCCUUUGAUGCACCUGUACUGACCUCGCCUUCUGGAUGAUAGCGGAGUGAACAGGCAGUGGCUCGGGUGGUUGAUGUCCUUGAUGAUCUUUAUGGCCUUCCUGUAACAUCGGGUGGUGUAGGUGCCUGGAGGGCAGGUAGUUUGCCCCCGGUGAUGCGUUGUGCAGACCUCACUACCCUCUGGAGAGCCUUACGGUUGUGGGCGGAGCAGUUGCCGUACCAGGCGGUGAUACAGCCCGCCAGGAUGCUCUCGAUUGUGCAUCUGUAGAAGUUUGUGAGUGCUUUUGGUGACAAGCCAAAUUUCUUCAGCCUCCUGAGGUUGAAGAGGCGCUGCUGCGCCUUCUUCACGAUGCUGUCUGUGUGAGUGGACCAAUUCAGUUUGUCUGUGAUGUGUAUGCCGAGGAACUUAAAACUUGCUACCCUCUCCACUACUGUUCCAUCGAUGUGGAUAGG